CCUACGUGUGGCAGCAGUGGGGAAUAUUGCGCAAUGGGCGAAAGCCUGACGCAGCGACGCCGCGUGAGGGAUGAAGGUCUUCGGAUCGUAAACCUCUGUCAGCAGGGAAGAACGGUCACUGUGCUAAUCAGCAGUGAAUUGACGGUACCUGCAAAGGAAGCACCGGCUAACUCCGUGCCAGCAGCCGCGGUAAUACGGAGGGUGCGAGCGUUAAUCGGAAUUACUGGGCGUAAAGCGCUCGUAGGCGGUAUGUCAAGUCAAGGGUGAAAUCCCCGCGCUCAACGUGGGAACUGCCUUUGAAACUGGCAAACUGGAGUGUGGGAGAGGAUAGUGGAAUUCCAGGGGUAGGAGUGAAAUCCGGAGAUAUCUGGAGGAACAUCAGUGGCGAAGGCGACUAUCUGGCACAUAACUGACGCUGAGGAGCGAAAGCGUGGGUAGCAAACAGGAUUAGAUACCCGAGUAGUC
rnacentral:rRNA from 1 species